rnacentral:rRNA from 1 species
GUGGCCAGCGGGUAAUACCGGGGACUCGUGGGAGACUGCCGGGGUCAACUCGGAGGAAGGUGGGGAUGACGUCAAGUCAUCAUGCCCCUUAUGUCCAGGGCUUCACACAUGCUACAAUGGCUGGUACAGAGGGCUGCGAUCACCGUGAGGUGGAGCGAAUCCCUUAAAGCCGGUCUCAGUUCGGAUCGCAGUCUGCAACUCGACUGCGUGAAGUCGGAGUCGCUAGUAAUCGCAGAUCAGCAACGCUGCGGUGAAUACGUUCCCGGGCCUUGUACACACCGCCCGUCACGUCAUGAAAGUCGGUAACACCCGAAGCCCAUGGCCCAACCCGUCAGGGAGGGAGUGGUCGAAGGUGGGACUAGGCGAUUGGGACGAAGUCGUAACAAUUAGCNUACCGGAAGUG